rnacentral:tRNA from 1 species
GAGAGGUGGCCGAGUGGUCGAAGGCGCAGCAUUGGAAAUGCUGUAGCGGGGUAACUCGCUCGUGGGUUCGAAUCCCAUCCUCUCC